ensembl:lncRNA
GACAUGUUGUGAAAAAGGGCUCUAAAAAUUGGAUUUUUAAUGACAAAGGAAAAGGGCAAAGUAAGAAAAGUCAGUAGGAAAAGCAUUUGCAGGGAGAAAGUUUUGUGUAGUAGUCCCAGAAGGGCACUUGCUCAGCUUUUUUGAUGCUCAGAAACACUGGGUCGGUGAGGAAAGCCAGUCAUUUGAGUUGCUUUAUAUAUCACCAUCUCGUUGUAGAUGGUUGAGGCCGGUGUGGCAGAAAAAUACAGAACAUCAGAAUGUCCAGCAGAAUAUCGGUCCCACGAGGGUGUUCAGGCUCUAAUUGGCAGAACCUGUGAAUAUGUUGCCUGAUGUAGAAGAGACUGUACAGGUGUGGUUAGUUAAAAAACCCUGAGCAGGAGAAGUACCUUGAAUUAUUCAGGUGGGCCCAAUCUAGUCAUCAGUGACUUUAUAAAGUGAAAGGAGGUAGGCAGAGCGUCUGAGUGAGAGGGAGAUUUGAAGAUGCGGCCCUCUGGUUUUGAAGAUGGAAGAGAGUUGUGAGUUAACCACACAGGCCAUCUCUGGAAGACAGACAAGAGGAGAAAUCAAGUUUUCCCUCAGACUUUCUAGAAGGAAUAGAGCCUGGCUGAGGCUGGAUAUUUUGCCGUGAAAGAAUGGAUACGGAAGGCAGAAACAUGGAUGCAAGGCUCAUGGUGAUGGACACAGGUGGAGAGAGAAAGGCUGGUUUCACACAGGGAAAUUUUGGGAUUUAGGAGGGCAAAGCUGGAGUAGUUGUGUGAAAAAAUGAAUAAUAGAAGAAAGCUGUAAUCCCAGCACCCAGGAGGCUGAGGUAGGAGGACCUUGAGCUCAAGGCUAACCUGAGUUACAUAAUAAGUUCAAGCCCAGCCUGGACUAUGUAGCAAGAC